GGAGGUACAGCUCAAUGGUGGAGUGCAUGCUUAGCAUGCACAAGGUCCUGGGUUCAAUCCCCAGUACCUCCA
rfam:Camelus ferus unplaced genomic scaffold scaffold2641, whole genome shotgun sequence.